GCUUACGGCCAAACCUCCCUCAGCACGCCCCAUCUCGUCUGAUCUCGGAAGCUAAGCAGGGUCAGGCCUGGUUAGUACUUGGAUGAGAGACCGCCUGGGAAUAGCAGGUGCUUGAAGCU
ensembl:rRNA 5S_rRNA 5S ribosomal RNA